rnacentral:rRNA from 1 species
GACGAACGCUGGCGGCGUGCUUAACACAUGCAAGUCGAACGAUGAAGCCAGCUUGUUGGUGGAUUAGUGGCGAACGGGUGAGUAACACGUGGGUGAUCUGCCCCAAACUUUGGGAUAAGCCUGGGAAACUGGGUCUAAUACCGAAUAUGACCGAUACUCGCAUGGGUGUUGGUGGAAAGCUCCGGCGGUUUGGGAUGGGCCCGCGGCCUAUCAGCUUGUUGGUGGGGUAAUGGCCUACCAAGGCGACGACGGGUAGCCGGCCUGAGAGGGCGACCGGCCACACUGGGACUGAGACACGGCCCAGACUCCUAUGGGAGGCAGCAGUGGGGAAUAUUGCACAAUGGGCGGAAGCCUGAUGCAGCGACGCCGCGUGAGGGAUGACGGCCUUCGGGUUGUAAACCUCUUUCACCAGGGACGAAGCGAAAGUGACGGUACCUGGAGAAGAAGCACCGGCCAACUACGUG